GGGGGCGACAUGGCUUCGACGUGGGUAAUGAAACCUGAGGUGCAUGCCGAGGUGCGAUGACCUCGUUAAUACAACCGCAAAACUUAUAGUUGCCAACGACGACAACUACGCUUUAGCAGCUUAAUAACCUGCUCAUAGCCCUCGGCCUGACGUGUGCCUGUACGCUCAGAUUACCGGGGUCGACUCAUACAGGAUCGCGAUGAAGCAUGUCUGGUGUGGAUUCGUUAAAACUUAUCCAGAAUCGCUCUGUGUUUUCCCUGCCCGUCGGGUAACACAAAGUUAAACUAAUAGACGGAAUAAGCAUGUAGAGCCGAUGGCGGAGUGCUUGCGGACGCGGGUUCAAUUCCCGCCGCCUCCACCA
rnacentral:tmRNA from 1 species